CACGCCGUAAACGAUGGAUACUAGCUGUUGGGAGCAAUCUCAGUGGCUAAGCGAAAGUGAUAAGUAUCCCACCUGGGGAGUACGUUCGCAAGAAUGAAACUCAAAGGAAUUGACGGGGGCCCGCACAAGCGGUGGAGCAUGUGGUUUAAUUCGAUGAUACGCGAGGAACCUUACCAAGGCUUAAAUGUAGAUUGACAGGACAGGAAACUGUUUUUUCUUCGGACAAUUUACAAGGUGC
rnacentral:rRNA from 1 species